rnacentral:rRNA from 1 species
GACGAACGCUGGCGGCGUGCCUAACACAUGCAAGUCGAACGGAACUGUUUUGAAAGAUUUCUUCGGAAUGAAUUUGAUUUAGUUUAGUGGCGGACGGGUGAGUAACGCGUGAGUAACCUGCCUUCAAGAGGGGGAUAACAUUCUGAAAAGAAUGCUAAUACCGCAUGACAUAUCGGAACCACAUGGUUUUGAUAUCAAAGAUUUUAUCGCUUGAAGAUGGACUCGCGUCCGAUUAGUUAGUUGGUGAGGUAACGGCUCACCAAGACCGCGAUCGGUAGCCGGACUGAGAGGUUGAACGGCCACAUUGGGACUGAGACACGGCCCAGACUCCUACGGGAGGCAGCAGUGGGGGAUAUUGCGCAAUGGGGGCAACCCUGACGCAGCAACGCCGCGUGAAGGAUGAAGGUUUUCGGAUUGUAAACUUCUUUUAUUAAGGACGAAAAAUGACGG